rnacentral:lncRNA from 1 species
AUGGCUAUGCCAGGUAGGAGACCUGUGCAAACUCCCUGUGGUUACCGGGGGGCAAGAGAGACCGGGCAGGCACCGUGUUAUGCGGUGGAGCGCACGGUGUCCCCAGUGCGGGUGCACAGCCCGGUGCGGUACAUUCCAGCUCCGCGUAUCGGCCGGGCUAGAGUGGGCAUCGAGCCAAGUGCCAUGAAGCCGGCUCUACGCAUCUGGUCUCCAGUGCGUCUCCUUGGGCCGGCUUACAUGGCACCAACCUUGCGCACGGUGUCCCCGGUUCGCCUACAUAGCCCAGUGCGGGCUAUUCCACCUCGCCGCACUGGCAGGGCGACCGGGACCAUUCAACCGGGUAAGGUUGGGCAGGCUCGGUGCUCAAGAGCUCCAGUGCGCCUGCACGGCCCGGUCUAUCCGUCACCACCUCCACGCACCAGCCCUCCGGUGGCAGCCCCCCGCACCAGGCUGUCUCUCCGGCCCAUCCUUACAGGGGCUCCCUCCUCUCCAGCGCUGCCGGAGUCUCCCGCCUGUCCGGCGCCGCUGCCGGAGUCUCCCGCCUGUCCGGCGCCGCUGCCGGAGUCUCCCGCCUGUCCGGCGCCGCUGCCGGAGUCUCCCGCCUGUCCGGCGCCGCUGCCGGAGUCUCCCGCCUGUCCGGCGCCGCUGCCGGAGUCUCCCGCCUGUCCGGCGCCGCUGCCGGAGUCUCCCGCCUGUCCGGCGCCGCUGCCGGAGUCUCCCGCCUGUCCGGCGCCGCUGCCGGAGUCUGAGGCGCCAGAGCCCCUCAGCCCAGAGGCGCCAGAGCUUCUGCCCCUCUGUCCAGAGCUUCUGCCCCUCUGUCCAGAGCUUCUGCCCCUCUGUCCAGAGCUUCCGCCCCUCUGUCCAGAGCUGCCCCUCUGUCCCGAGCUGCCCCUCUGUCCAGUGGGGUCAUUGAGAGGGGUGGCCAUGGUGAGAAAGCCACGGAGGCGGACAAUAAGGCGGACUAAGACAAUGGUGAAGUGGGGUCCGCGUCCUGCGCCAGAGCCGCCACCGCGGACAGAUGCCCACCCAGACCCUCCCCUAUAG